rnacentral:misc_RNA from 1 species
AACAGAACAACAACAAAUUGACUAAAAACUCAGGAAAUCUAUCAAACACUUAGUGUGCAGAAGAAAUGAGCAGGGAAUCAGACAAAUUUUUAUUAUACUGACCAGCACUUAAAUACACGAAGUAGUUCAACAAACUCAGAAAAAUAGGACCUAUUAUCAGCACUAAAUCAGGUCUAGCAGAAAAGAAGAAAAACAGACCAGAAAAAAUAGGACUCGCUUCUACUGACUUAUUCAAAUGAA